UACAUCUUGGUGUAUGAUGCAUAUAAAUUUUUGAUGUUUCUGGUAAUAGUUUAAUUCUGUUAGGUGUAA
rnacentral:tRNA from 1 species